rnacentral:rRNA from 1 species
UACGUAGGGGGCAAGCGUUGUCCGGAAUCAUUGGGCGUAAAGAGCGCGUAGGCGGUCCGGUAAGUCCGCUCUGAAAGUCCGGGGCUCAACCCCGGGAGGCGGGCGGAUACUGUCGGGCUAGAGUCCGGAAGAGGCGAGUGGAAUUCCUGGUGUAGCGGUGAAAUGCGCAGAUAUCAGGAGGAACACCAAUGGCGAAGGCAGGUCUCUGGGCCACUACUGACGCUGAGAAGCGAAAGCAUGGGGAGCGAACAGG